CCGUUUUUCCGGCAAAUUCGGCAAGUCGGCAAUUUGCCGGUUUGUCGAUUUGUCGGAAAUUUUCUACUCCGGCAAUUUGCCAUUUUUCCGAUUUGCCGGAAAAAUCGUUUGCCGCCCACCCCUGGUUGGUAUGUUUGAACGGUGUAGU
ensembl:ncRNA R03A10.9 ncRNA